rnacentral:rRNA from 1 species
CGUUAUCCGGAUUUAAUUGGGCGUAAAGCGAGCGCAGGCGGUUUUUUAAGUCUGAUGUGAAAGCCCUCGGCUUAACCGAGGAAGCGCAUCGGAAACUGGGAAACUUGAGUGCAGAAGAGGACAGUGGAACUCCAUGUGUAGCGGUGAAAUGCGUAGAUAUAUGGAAGAACACCAGUGGCGAAGGCGGCUGUCUGGUCUGUAACUUA